CCUACGGGCUGCACCAGUGGGGAAUAUUGCACAAUGGGCGCAAGCCUGAUGCAGCCAUGCCGCGUGUAUGAAGAUGGCCUUCGGGUUGUAAAGUACUUUCAGCGAGGAGGAAGGCGAUAAGGUUAAUAACCUUGUCGAUUGACGUUACUCGCAGAAGAAGCACCGGCUAACUCCGUGCCAGCAGCCGCGGUAAUACGGAGGGUGCAAGCGUUAAUCGGAAUUACUGGGCGUAAAACGCACGCAGGCGGUCUGUCAAGUCGGAUGUGAAAUCCCCGGGCUCAGCCUGGGAACUGCAUUCGAAACUGGCAGGCUAGAGUCUUGUAGAGGGGGGUAGAAUUCCAGGUGUAGCGGUGAAAUGCGUAGAGAUCUGGAGGAAUACCGGUGGCGAAGGCGGCCCCCUGGACAAAGACUGACGCUCAGGUGCGAAAGCGCGGGGAGCAAACAGGAUUAGAUACCCUCGUAGUC
rnacentral:rRNA from 1 species